CACUGGUCGAGAGCUGACGCCGCUCUCCUGCUGAUGAGUCCAAGACAGGACGAAACCAGUG
rnacentral:sRNA from 1 species